AGGAUGAUCAGCCACAUUGGGACUGAGACACGGCCCAAACUCCUACGGGAGGCAGCAGUGGGGAAUAUUGGACAAUGGGCGCAAGCCUGAUCCAGCCAUGCCGCGUGAGUGAUGACGGCCUUAGGGUUGUAAAGCUCUUUCGCUCGGGACGAUAAUGACGGUACCGAGAUAAGAAGCCCCGGCUAACUUCGUGCCAGCAGCCGCGGUAAUACGAAGGGGGCUAGCGUUGUUCGGAAUUACUGGGCGUAAAGCGCGUGUAGGCGGGUCUUUAAGUCAGGGGUGAAAUGCCAAGGCUCAACCUUGGAACUGCCUUUGAUACUGGAGAUCUUGAGUCCGGGAGAGGUGAGUGGAAUUGCGAGUGUAGAGGUGAAAUUCGUAGAUAUUCGCAAGAACACCAGUGGCGAAGGCGGCUCACUGGCCCGGAACUGACGCUGAGACGCGAAAGCGUGGGGAGCAAACAGGAUUAGAUACCCUGGUAGUCCACGCUGUAAACGAUGGAUGCUAGCCGUUGGGGAGCUUGCUCUUCAGUGGCGCAGCUAACGCUUUAAGCAUCCCGCCUGGGGAGUACGGUCGCAAGAUUAAAACUCAAAGG
rnacentral:rRNA from 1 species